GGUAGCCGGCCUGAGAGGGUGUCCGGCCACACUGGGACUGAGAUACGGCCCAGACUCCUACGGGAGGCAGCAGUGGGGAAUAUUGCACAAUGGGCGCAAGCCUGAUGCAGCGACGCCGCGUGGGGGAUGACGGCCUUCGGGUUGUAAACCUCUUUCAAUAGGGACGAAGCGCAAGUGACGGUACCUNUAGAAGAAGCACCGGCCAACUACGUGCCAGCAGCCGCGGUAAUACGUAGGGUGCGAGCGUUGUCCGGAAUUACUGGGCGUAAAGAGCUCGUAGGUGGUUUGUCGCGUUGUCCGUGAAAUUUCNCANCUCAAUUGUGAGCGUGCGGGCGAUACGGGCAGACUGGAGUACUGCAGGGGAG
rnacentral:rRNA from 1 species